rnacentral:rRNA from 1 species
GAUGAACGCUGGCGGCGUGCCUAAUACAUGCAAGUCGAGCGAACAGAUGAGGAGCUUGCUCCUCUGACGUUAGCGGCGGACGGGUGAGUAACACGUGGAUAACCUACCUAUAAGACUGGGAUAACUUCGGGAAACCGGAGCUAAUACCGGAUAAUAUAUUGAACCGCAUGGUUCAAUAGUGAAAGACGGUUUUGCUGUCACUUAUAGAUGGUUCCGCGCCGCAUUAGCUAGUUGGUAAGGUAACGGCUUACCAAGGCAACGAUGCGUAGCCGACCUGAGAGGGUGAUCGGCCACACUGGAACUGAGACACGGUCCAGACUCCUACGGGAGGCAGCAGUGGGGAAUCUUCCGCAAUGGGCGAAAGCCUGACGGAGCAACGCCGCGUGAGUGAUGAAGGUCUUCGGAUCGUAAAACUCUGUUAUUGGGGAAGAACAAAUGUGUAAGUAACUAUGCACGUCUUGACGGUACCUAAUCAGAAAGCCACGGCUAACUACGUG